UGCUUGCACCUUUCAAGUGAGUGGCGAACGGGUGAGUAACACGUGGACAACCUGCCUCAAGGCUGGGGAUAACAUUUGGAAACAGAUGCUAAUACCGAAUAAAACUUAGUGUCGCAUGACACAAAGUUAAAAGGCGCUUCGGCGUCGCCUAGAGAUGGAUCCGCGGUGCAUUAGUUAGUUGGUGGGGUAAAGGCCUACCAAGACAAUGAUGCAUAGCCGAGUUGAGAGACUGAUCGGCCACAUUGGGACUGAGACACGGCCCAAACUCC
rnacentral:rRNA from 1 species